rnacentral:rRNA from 1 species
CAGUCGCCGCGGGAAUACAGAGGCCUCAAGCGUUGUUCGGAUUCAUUGGGCGUAAAGGGAGCGUAGGCGGUCGGGUAAGUUGGAUGUGAAAUCCUGGGGCUCAACCUCAGAACUGCAUUCAAUACUGCUUGGCUAGAGUAUUGGAGAGGUGAGUGGAAUUCACGGUGUAGCAGUGAAAUGCGUAGAUAUCGUGAGGAAGACCAGCGGCGAAGGCGGCUCACUGGACAAUUACUGACGCUGAUGCUCGAAGGCCAGGGGAGCAAACGGGAUUAGAUACCCGUGUAGUCCCUGUCUCUUAUAC